UGUGAGUUUGAGUCGCUCAUUGGAUGAGGUCUUUUCCCACUUUGUGUGAGCAUGAACCCUGCUCCAGGUUAGCAUGAGCCUGCUCUGUGUUGAGUACCAGCCCUUGAGCUACACUCUGGGUGACUUCAAACCUGCUCUGGGUGAACUCAAGCCCUGAUCUGGGGUGAGCUUCAGUCUUGCUCUGAAUGAUCUCUAGCUCACUCCUGGUAAACACAAGCCCUGCUCUAUGUGAUCUUGUGCCCUGCUGCAUGUGACCUCGUGCCCUGCUCCUAGUGACCUCGAGCCCCGCUCUGGGUGAACACAAGUUCUGCUGCAGGUAAGUUCCUGUCCUGUUCUCAGUGACCUUGUGCCCUGCUCUAGGUGACCUCAAGCCCAGCUCCAGGUGAGCUGAAGCCCUAUUCCAAAUAAGCUGAAGUCCCAUAUCUAAUGGGCCUGUGUCCUAAUUCAGGUGAGCUCAUAACCUGCUCUGUAUGAGCUCAGACUCCAUUAAGGUAAGUUUCUGCUCUACUCCGGUUGAGUCAUGCCCCUCUGCUUGUGAGCUCAUGCCCUACAUUGUGUGACCUUGUGCCCUGCUCUGGGUCACCGAUAAACCUGCUCUGGAUGACUUCUAUCCUGGUCCAGUUAAACCUGUGACCUGCUCAGGGUGAGCACAAACCCCUCUCAGGGUAAGCACAAGCCCAGUUAUGGGUGGGCAUGAGCCCCACACUGAGUUAGAGUGGGCCUACAAAAGCUAAAUAUGAGCCCUGGUUCAGGUGACCUCAUGCCCUGGUAUGUUUGAACUCAUGUCCUUUGAUUCAUUGUCUUUUGAGCUCAAGUCCCGCUCCCAGUGAGCAUGAGUCCUGCUCCUGGUGGGCUUGAGUCCUGCUCUGGAUGAGCUCAAUCCCCAUUCUGAGUGAGCUCCAGCAGCCCUCUGGCUAAAUACAGACCUUGCUCCGUGUGACCUCAUACCACCCUCCGGGUGACCAUGAGCUCCACUUAGGGUUGAGUUCAUGCUCCACUCCAGGUGAGCACCAGCCCCGCUCGGGGUGUCAACAUGCUCCACUCUGGGCAACCUCAAGCCCCUUUUUGCUUAAGCAUGGACACUUUUCCCAGUGACCUGGAGCCCCUCUCCAGUUGAGCACAAGACCUUCUCUGGUGAGUUUGUCUUGCUCCAGGUGACCUCAGGCCCUGCUCAGAUUUUGCACCAGUCCCACUUCUCGUGAGCACGUGCCCUCUUCUGUGUGACCUUGUGCCCCACUCAGCAGAACCUCCAGACCAAUACUGGGUGAUCUCUAGCUCAGCUCCUAAUGAAUAAUCUCGUGUCCCACUGCAGUUGAGCAAAGCCUAGUUUGGGGUGACCUUGAAUCCCACUCCCAGUGAACUUGUUUUUAGCUCCACAUGACCUCGUGCUUCACUCCAGGCGCACUCGAGCCAUGCUUGAGUUCAGCCCAUGUUCUGGGUGACCUUGUGCCUGUCUCCAAUUGAAAUGAGCCCUGCUUGAUAUGCCUUCUUCCCUGCUCUGGGUGACCUUGACCCCCACACCUGGUGAGCUCAUGCCACACUUUGGGUGUACUGAAGCCUUUCUCAGAGUGAGAGGUAGCCAUCCCCAGGUGAGUGUGAGCCCAGUUUUGAUGAGCCUGUGUUAUGCUCUGGGUGACCUCAUGCCAGGUGAUCUCAAGACUCUGUCUUGGUGAGCUUGUCUCACUCUCUAUGUGGCCUCAGACCCCACUCGGGUUUUGCCCCAGCCCCACUUCUGCUGAGCACGUGUCCCUUUCUCUGUGAGCGAGGGCCACUGCCCAGGUGAGCUCCAGGUGCCCUGCAAGUGAGCUUGAGUCUUCUUCACAUUACCAAGGGCCCCUCUCUUUAUGAUUCUGUGCUCUGCUGCAGGGACCUUCAAGGGGCGCUUGCUGUGACCUCGUGUCCCUCUGCAGGUAGCUCAAGUUAUGUUCCAAGGGACAUGGAGUCCUGCUCCUGUGAGACCUUGCCCCACACCAGGGGGAACUCAAGUCCUGAUCCACCUGGCUGGUGCCCCACUUCUAGUGAAUGCCUCUGAAGCUCUGGGUGCCUAGAAGCCUGACUCCCUGUGACCUGGUGACCCAGCCCAGAGGAGCACAAACUCUGCUGAGGGUGAGCUCGAGCUCCUCUCCAGUUGAGAAGAAGCCUUUGUCUCAUUGAGGACACGGCUUGAUCCUGAUGACCUCGAGUCCCAGUCCAGGUUAGCAGUGUGCCACUUUGAGUGACCUCAAGUCCCGCUCCUAGUGAACCUGUGCCCCACUUUAGGUGACCUUGAGCCCCAUUCCUGGUGAGCUGAGCCCUGAUUCAUGUGUACAUAGUUGUGCAGGUGACCUUGAGACCCACAUCUGAUUGGGGGGAGUCGAUGAGCCCCCCUCCGGUGUCAUCUGAGCUGGUGACCUGCUUCAUGACCUCGUGACCUGCCCCAAGUGACCUCCAGCCCGGCUCCAGCGUCCAGAGUCGUGUUCUGGGUUAGCCCCAGCCCCCAUGCGGUUGAGCACCAGCUCUGCUGCCUGUGACUUCCUGCUUAGCUCCAGGUGACAUCGAGCCCCACUCAGGUGGGUUGGUGCCUAGCUCCAUGUGAGCUCGAGGCUCGCUCCACUUGACCUCAAGACCUGUUCCGUAUGAGCUCAAGUCCUGCUCCAGGUGGCCAGAGCCCAGCUCCUAGAGGGCUCAGGCCCUGAUUCAAGUGUACACAGUUGUGAGUGUGGCCUUGAGAUCCGCCCCUGCUGUGGUGACUUCGAGCCGUGCUUCAGUGACCUGGUGCUCCAUUCUGUGUGAGCUAGUGCCACACUCUAGGCAAACUGAAGCCCUGACCAGGGCAAACACGGGCCCUCCCUCCCUGUUGUUUUGUGCUCCACUCCCAGUGCACGAAGCCUCACUCCCUGUGACCUGGUGACCCUCCCUGUAGGAACUCCAGUCAUGCCAAGGGUGACCUGGAGCCCCUCUCCAGUGGAGCAUGAGAUUUGCUUUGGGUGAGCACGUGCCCUGAUCUGGGUGACCUCGAGUCCUGCUCCAAGUGAACUCACACCCUCUCUCCAUGACUGCGAGUCCUGCUUCAGAUCACCUGAAGACCCGCUCACUAGAACCUCCAGACCCUCACUGGGUGAACUCAUGCCUGCUCCUUGGGGACCUCCUGACCCACUCAGCCGUACAGCCUGACCCACUGCUGACCCUGAGAGGAGCUGACAAUGAAUUUGGGUCCUGCUCCAACGGACCUGGAACCUCGCUCCCAGUGAGCUCCUGGAACCCUCUGGGUGACCUCAAUCCCUGCUCAGGGUGACCUUGACCCGUCUCCAGGUGGAGCAGGAACCCCGCUCCAUAAGAUUCGGUGCUCCACUCUGGGUGACCUGGAUCCCCACUCCAGGUGAGCUGGAUUUACUCUUUGUGGUAAUCCCCGCCCUUUCUGCCCAAGCUCAUGCCUUGCUCCCCGUGACCUAGAGCGCCUCACCUGCACAGUUCCCUUCCCAGCUGACGUGGACCAGGACCUUUACUGGGGCAUCUCCAGUCAUGCACUAGGUAAACUCCUGCCCUGCUCUAGGUGACCUUCUAGCUCAGGACAUGGGGAACUGGUGUUCCUCUGGACUUUGGCAAGACUUUUCCAGGUGACCUCGAAUCCACCUCCUGGUGACCUCGAGCCUUGCUCCUGAGGACCUCAAACUGCUGCUCGUGAUGUGUUCUGCGCUGUGGGACCUAGAUCCCCACUCAGCUUAGUCCUGAAACUGGUUUUGAGUGAACUUCUACCCAGUUCUGGUUGGCCUCGGACCCAGCUCUUUGUGACCUUGUGCCACCCUUCCAGUGUAUUAAGGCCUUUGGAUUAAGGUUAUUCCAAACAACAGGUGGCCUGAGCCCCACUUCUGUGACUUCCUGUGCCACUUUGGGAGACCUCAUGGUCUAUUCUAUGUGACCUCAAGGCACAACCCAUGAUCAAGUGGGAUUUAUUCCAAGGAAACAAGGAUGGUUUGACAUUCACAAAUCAAA